AGUGAACGCUGGCGGUAGGCCUAACACAUGCAAGUCGAACGGCAGCACAGUAAGAGCUUGCUCUUACGGGUGGCGAGUGGCGGACGGGUGAGGAAUACAUCGGAAUCUACUUUUUCGUGGGGGAUAACGUAGGGAAACUUACGCUAAUACCGCAUACGACCUACGGGUGAAAGCAGGGGAUCUUCGGACCUUGCGCGAUUGAAUGAGCCGAUGUCGGAUUAGCUAGUUGGCGGGGUAAAGGCCCACCAAGGCGACGAUCCGCAGCUGGUCUGAGAGGAUGAUCAGCCACACUGGAACUGAGACACGGUCCAGACUCCUACGGGAGGCAGCAGUGGGGAAUAUUGGACAAUGGGCGCAAGCCUGAUCCAGCCAUACCGCGUGGGUGAAGAAGGCCUUCGGGUUGUAAAGCCCUUUUGUUGGGAAAGAAAAGCAGCUGGUUAAUACCCCGCUGUUCUGACGGUACCCAAAGAAUAAGCACCGGCUAACUUCGUG
rnacentral:rRNA from 1 species